rnacentral:rRNA from 1 species
GUACACUCCUGCGGGAGGCAGCAGUGGGGAAUAUUGCACAAUGGGCGCAAGCCUGAUGCAGCCAUGCCGCGUGUAUGAAGAAGGCCUUCGGGUUGUAAAGUACUUUCAGCGGGGAGGAAGGCAAUACGGUUAAUAACCGUGUUGAUUGACGUUACCCGCAGAAGAAGCACCGGCUAACUCCGUGCCAGCAGCCGCGGUAAUACGGAGGGUGCAAGCGUUAAUCGGAAUUACUGGGCGUAAAGCGCACGCAGGCGGUCUGUCAAGUCGGAUGUGAAAUCCCCGGGCUCAACCUGGGAACUGCAUUCGAAACUGGCAGGCUUGAGUCUUGUAGAGGGGGGUAGAAUUCCAGGUGUAGCGGUGAAAUGCGUAGAGAUCUGGAGGAAUACCGGUGGCGAAGGCGGCCCCCUGGACAAAGACUGACGCUCAGGUGCGAAAGCGUGGGGAGCAAACAGGAUUAGAUACCCGGGUAGUCCCAUG